rnacentral:rRNA from 1 species
CACGGACUUCGGUCUGGUGGCGAGUGGCGAACGGGUGAGUAAUGUAUCGGAACGUACCUUUCAGUGGGGGAUAACGUAGCGAAAGUUACGCUAAUACCGCAUAUUCUGUGAGCAGGAAAGCAGGGGAUCGCAAGACCUUGCGCUGAUUGAGCGGCCGAUAUCAGAUUAGCUAGUUGGUGAGGUAAAGGCUCACCAAGGCGACGAUCUGUAGCGGGUCUGAGAGGAUGAUCCGCCACACUGGAACUGAGACACGGUCCAGACUCCUACGGGAGGCAGCAGUGGGGAAUUUUGGACAAUGGGGGCAACCCUGAUCCAGCCAUGCCGCGUGAGUGAAGAAGGCCUUCGGGUUGUAAAGCUCUUUCGGCCGGGAAGAAAUCGCAUGGGCUAAUACCCUGUGCGGAUGACGGUACCGGCAUAAGAAGCACCGGCUAACUACGUGCCAGCAGCCGCGGUAAUACGUAGGGUGCGAGCGUUAAUCGGAAUUCUGGGCGUAAAGCGUGCGCAGGCGGUUUUUUAAGACAGGCGUGAAAU